GACGGCUUGGCGCGUUCAGUAACAGCUGAACCAAAGAGACAGAAUAACGUUACAGGCUCUGUGCUGUGAAAAUCCAGGAAAUAGAGAUAGGCUAUUACGUUGUGUGCUUGAAGUGUUAAGGAAGAACCCGUGCCGAUUAUAGUUAAGUUUUAUCUUUAAUGAAUACAGUAAAAACCUAACUAACAAGAUGGUUCAAAACACGUUCCUGCGCCCAAGAUACCACCUUAGUGUCAAGCAUGCCAAGAACUCUUGUAACUUCAAAUCCAUAAUCUUGUUCUGAUGGUGAGUGAUGGCGAUUUCCUGAGAGUUUAAGCGACUGACAGCUUUUAAUUGCCUGAAAGUAAUUGAUUAACAAGCGAAACAAGGAACGGAAGUUUUCCCUGGAGGAAGUUCUGUGAGGAGGCGAGCCCAUUCCCCCUGUUCCUUGAAAUCAGUUAACAUACUGAAUGACUUUCUGGAAAUAUAAAGUUUACUUAUAAAAAAUCUCCCGUUUGGAUAUGUAAUUUUAAUUCUUAAGAAACUCGACCAGGGGCUUUAGGGAGUGGAGUUGCUUAUCUAACAAGGACUUUUUAUGGAGGAUCGACAUUUGCAAAUACAAACUCUCUCCAAAGAUGGAUUAUUAGCAAGUGGAUGAAAAAACGGUCAACCUCAGUUGCUUCAGGUAUCAACUUUAGGAAUCUCUCUCUCCAGCUUCAAAAUUGUCAAAAUUGCGUGCCUGGCCUGGUUUAUGAUCUAAUCAAAUGUGCCUUUUGGAAAACAAAUUACUGUUUUCGAAAUGUAUUUUAGUCCAAAGCUCAAGUAGGGUUGAACAUCUAACCACACGACAUGUCAUGCUUAAUUAUAAUAGAUUCUUCUUAGCCUUCAACUUGUUGAGGUACUUAAUUUGGUAUCAUGGAUUCAUCGUGCAUUUAGAAUGCUGUGUAAAUAUAUCGCCUCUCUCUCUUUCUCAGUUUUAGAGCAACUUAAAUUGUUUAAAAUUUCUCUGCUUCUCGGUGUGAUUUUGAGAUUUCCUCAAGGUAGUUAUACAAACCACCCCUUCAACUCACUCACUCACUCUCUCAGGUUUAGAGCAACAGAUUUUUAUUUAGAAUUUUCUCUCCAUCUCUCGGUGAGAUUUUGAGAUUUCUUCAAGGUAGUUAUAUAAACCACCCUCUCAACUCUCUCUCUCUCUCUCUCUCUCUCUCUCUCUCUCUCUCUCUCUCUCUCUCUCUCUCUCUCUCUCUCUCU